rnacentral:rRNA from 1 species
ACUCCUACGGGAGGCAGCAGUGGGGAAUAUUGCACAAUGGGCGCAAGCCUGAUGCAGCCAUGCCGCGUGUAUGAAGAAGGCCUUCGGUUGUAAAGUACUUCUAGCAGUGAGGAAGGCAGGUACGUUAAUAGCGUGCUUGUUUGACGUUAGCUGCAGAAGAAGCACCGGCUAACUCCGUGCCAGCAGCCGCGGUAAUACGGAGGGUGCGAGCGUUAAUCGGAAUUACUGGGCGUAAAGCGCAUGCAGGUGGUUUGUUAAGUCAGAUGUGAAAGCCCGGGGCUCAACCUCGGAAUUGCAUUUGAAACUGGCAGACUAGAGUACUGUAGAGGGGGUAGAAUUUCAGGUGUAGCGGUGAAAUGCGUAGAGAUCUGAAGGAAUACCGGUGGCGAAGGCGGCCCCCUGGACAGAUACUGACACUCAGAUGCGAAAGCGUGGGGAGC